AACGAACGCUGGCGGCAGGCCUAACACAUGCAAGUCGAACGGGACCUUCGGGUCUAGUGGCGGACGGGUGAUUAACGCGUGGGAACGUGCCCUUUGGUUCGGAAUAGCCUCGGGAAACUGGGAGUAAUACCGGAUAAGCUCUACGGAGGAAAGAUUUAUCGCCAAAGGAUCGGCCCGCGUUGGAUUAGCUAGUUGGUGGGGUAAAGGCCUACCAAGGCGACGAUCCAUAGCUGGUCUGAGAGGAUGAUCAGCCACAUUGGGACUGAGACACGGCCCAAACUCCUACGGGAGGCAGCAGUGGGGAAUAUUGGACAAUGGGCGCAAGCCUGAUCCAGCCAUGCCGCGUGAGUGAUGAAGGCCUUAGGGUUGUAAAGCUCUUUCACCGAUGAAGAUAAUGACGGUAGUCGGAGAAGAAGCCCCGGCUAACUUCGUGCAGCCGCCGCCGUAACAC
rnacentral:rRNA from 1 species